rnacentral:rRNA from 1 species
CCUACGGGAGGCAGCAGUGAGGAAUAUUGGUCAAUGGACGAGAGUCUGAACCAGCCAAGUAGCGUGAAGGAUGACUGCCCUAUGGGUUGUAAACUUCUUUUAUAUGGGAAUAAAAUGUUCCACGUGUGGGAUUUUGUAUGUACCAUAUGAAUAAGGAUCGGCUAACUCCGUGCCAGCAGCCGCGGUAAUACGGAGGAUCCGAGCGUUAUCCGGAUUUAUUGGGUUUAAAGGGAGCGUAAGUGGAUUGUUAAGUCAGUUGUGAAAGUUUGCGGCUCAACCGUAAAAUUGCAGUUGAAACUGGCAGUCUUGAGUACAGUAGAGGUGGGCGGAAUUCGUGGUGUAGCGGUGAAAUGCUUAGAUAUCACGAAGAACUCCGAUUGCGAAGGCAGUUCACUGGACUGCAACUGACACUGAGGCUCGAAAGUGUGGGUAUCAAACAGGAUUAGAUACCCGAGUAGUC